CUACGGGUGUCUGCAGUGGGGAAUAUUGGACAAUGGGCGAAAGCCUGAUCCAGCCAUGCCGCGUGUGUGAAGAAGGCCUUCGGGUUGUAAAGCACUUUCAGUGGGGAAGAAAGCCUUGGGGCUAAUACCCUCGAGGAAGGACAUCACCCACAGAAGAAGCACCGGCUAACUCCGUGCCAGCAGCCGCGGUAAUACGGAGGGUGCGAGCGUUAAUCGGAAUUACUGGGCGUAAAGCGCGCGUAGGCGGUCUGAUAAGCCGGUUGUGAAAGCCCCGGGCUCAACCUGGGAACGGCAUCCGGAACUGUCAGGCUAGAGUGCAGGAGAGGAAGGUAGAAUUCCCGGUGUAGCGGUGAAAUGCGUAGAGAUCGGGAGGAAUACCAGUGGCGAAGGCGGCCUUCUGGACUGACACUGACGCUGAGGUGCGAAAGCGUGGGUAGCAAACAGGAUUAGAUACCCCUGUAGUC
rnacentral:rRNA from 1 species